CCUACGGGAGGCAGCAGUGAGGAAUAUUGGUCAAUGGGCUUACGCCUGAACCAGCCAAGUCGCGUGAGGGAAGACUGCCCUAUGGGUUGUAAACCUCUUUUGUCAGGGAGCAACGCCGGCUACGUGUAGCCGGACUGAGAGUACCUGAAGAAAAAGCAUCGGCUAACUCCGUGCCAGCAGCCGCGGUAAUACGGAGGAUGCGAGCGUUAUCCGGAUUGAUUGGGGUUAAAGGGUGCGUAGGCGGAAUGCCAAGUCAGCGGUAAAAUCGCGGGGCUCAACCUCGCUCCGCCGUUGAAACUGGCGUUCUUGAGUGGGCGAGAAGUAUGCGGAAUGCGUGGUGUAGCGGUGAACUGCAUAGAUAUCACGCAGAACUCCGAUUGCGAAGGCAGCAUACCGGCGCCCAACUGACGCUGAAGCACGAAAGCGUGGGUAUCGAACAGGAUUAGAUACCCGAGUAGUC
rnacentral:rRNA from 1 species